GACCAGUGGUGCAGUGGUUUGAGUGUUGGACUAUGACUCUGGAGACUAGGGUUCAAUUCCCCACUUGGCCA